rnacentral:rRNA from 7 species
AAAUUGAAGAGUUUGAUCAUGGCUCAGAUUGAACGCUGGCGGCAGGCCUAACACAUGCAAGUCGAACGGUAACAGGAAGCAGCUUGCUGCUUUGCUGACGAGUGGCGGACGGGUGAGUAAUGUCUGGGAAACUGCCUGAUGGAGGGGGAUAACUACUGGAAACGGUGGCUAAUACCGCAUAACGUCGCAAGACCAAAGAGGGGGACCUUCGGGCCUCUUGCCAUCAGAUGUGCCCAGAUGGGAUUAGCUUGUUGGUGAGGUAACGGCUCACCAAGGCGACGAUCCCUAGCUGGUCUGAGAGGAUGACCAGCCACACUGGAACUGAGACACGGUCCA